AUGAACGCUGGCGGCGUGCCUAAUACAUGCAAGUCGAGCGCACGGACGAGAAGCUUGCUUCUCUGAUGUUAGCGGCGGACGGGUGAGUAACACGUGGAUAACCUACCUAUAAGACUGGGAUAACUUCGGGAAACCGGAGCUAAUACCGGAUAAUAUUUUGAACCGCAUGGUUCAAAGGUGAAAGACGGUCUUGCUGUCACUUAUAGAUGGAUCCGCGCUGCAUUAGCUAGUUGGUAAGGUAACGGCUUACCAAGGCAACGAUGCAUAGCCGACCUGAGAGGGUGAUCGGCCACACUGGAACUGAGACACGGUCCAGACUCCUACGGGAGGCAGCAGUAGGGAAUCUUCCGCAAUGGGCGAAAGCCUGACGGAGCAACGCCGCGUGAGUGAUGAAGGUCUUCGGAUCGUAAAACUCUGUUAUUAGGGAAGAACAUAUGUGUAAGUAACUGUGCACAUCUUGACGGUACCUAAUCAGAAAGCCACGGCUAACUACGUG
rnacentral:rRNA from 1 species